UACGUAGGUGGCAAGCGUUGUUCGGAAUUACUGGGCGUAAAGGGCUCGUAGGCGGCCAACUAAGUCAGACGUGAAAUCCCUCGGCUUAACCGGGGAACUGCGUCUGAUACUGGAUGGCUUGAGUUCGGGGAGAGGGAGUGCGGAAUUCCAGGUGUAGCGGUGAAAUGCGUAGAUAUCUGGAGGAACACCGGUGGCGAAGGCGGCAUCCUGGACCGACACUGACGCUGAGGAGCGAAAGCCAGGGGAGCAAAGCGGG
rnacentral:rRNA from 1 species